UCACCGAAUGAACGAAAAAAAAGAGAGAGAGAAACACCGUGAGAGAGAGAAGAGAACGAAACCAUGGAACCGUGAGUUUCCAACUUCGAUUAUUUGCGAUCUGCAACUCCAAUAAAAAAUCUAAUUCGAUAAAAGUGUUCGUAUCCUUCUCUUCUAUACGUUGGCGUUAUUUUUAUCCAGUAGAAGUUGACGGUGACGUAGCUCCUCUUUCCCUUGAGUUCGGCCAACUGAAAUUUUAGGACCCUUGAGUUCGGCCAACUGGAGUUCUAGGAGACAUAGAUGAUUUCUAACGCUUUCCUUUUCAGCAGCUCAGUCAAAAGUUUCUCCGAAAUUUCGAGUAUUUCGAUUACGUACGAAGGUAGGGGUUUGUUUAAAAGUUAACAUAUUUUGGGGCUGAAUACCUGAUGAGUUUAGUGGAUUAAUGCAAGUGAAUUAAUUUCUGUGCUGAAAAUGACUUUCUGCUGUGAUUGAAAUUGUGGCUGAAUUGAUUAUUGAUUUAUCAUUUUUUUUGAGUUUCUGGAAAAAAAAUGAUUGAAUACGUUGAUUUUGAGCCUUGGUUUGAAAAUGGUUUUUAUUGAUUAUGCAAAAUGGAUUUGGAAAUGUUAAUUCGAAAUGUUGGUCUUGAUUGAGCCGAAUUUGAAAAGAGGGAACCCGUAAGGGUGGUUUAGACCAAAUUUUAGAGAAAAUGCCGCCGAAAUUUUAUAAAAUCUGAGGUUUUAUUUGAAAAGUUAUUUUAAAAGAUUUGGUUUUGGAAAAUUAAAUUAUUUAAAAUAUAUUUAGUUAAGAAAAGAUUUAUUCUAUUUUAAAGUUUGAUUUAUUAAGAAAAAUAUAAUGUUUUAAACCCAAUCUUUUAAGGAGAGAUUUUGUUUUAAGUAAAGAUUUGAGCUCGAUUUAUUAAGAAAAGGAAUCUCUGUCACAGGAGAGCAGAGAACAAGGAUUUAAAGAAUAUAUUAAUUAAUGAAGUGUCUGCCACAGGAGAGCAGAUGUGACAUUGUUUGGGUCUUAGUGCCAAAUGUAAAGUGGGGACGCCCACACACUGAGAACUGUUUUCCAGAUGUAUGAUUAUUGAUUUGGAAAGUCACACUGAUGCGGCCUAGCCGUACGACUUAAAGUCACACUGAUGCAUCUGGAAAACCAUAUCUGGGACUUGUGCCCGGGUAAUGUCGGGAGCGGGUAGGCAACCGACACAUGAGCUCAUGGCCUGCGUUAGGGAUAGACAUGCAUCAUAUUGAUUGCGCAUUUGCAUUUGAUUGCGCUUGCCUGUUUUAUUACUUUGUGAUUGUAUUGUUUGUCUUGUUGUUACUUGCUUGUACAUUGAAUUGAAUCUCUUGCUUGCACUACUUGUUUGUGAGUGUAUUAAAGUGAUUACGAGUUGACAUUUGACUGAGGAUUAAUAUGUGGCUGAGAGACAGAAAGUGUGACUAAUUUUAUAUUUAGGUUUUGUUUUGAGUUAAGAUAUUUUAAAAGGAGGUAGUUAAUUAUCUAAAGUAGAACCAAGAGUAUUUUCAAAGGGUUUGAUAAAAAAAAUAUAUUUUUAUUGAGUAAAGUUAAUUAUUUGCACUUUAUUCCAUUACUUUUACGGCAUUCCCAUUUCCUACUGAGAACGUGUGGUUUGUUCUCACCCCAAAUCUUCCACCCUUUCAGAGACUCAGGUUCGGAGAUUCAGUAAGAAGCUGCAGACGAUUAGUAGAUUUACUUGUGAUUCCUGUUGUUUUUAUAGAGUUCUCUCGCCCUUGUGAUUCCUGUUGCUUCAGGGUUUUUAUUUUGUCCAGAAGGAUAGGUAUUGUAUUUAAGUUUUACGCUGAAUUUAAUUGUACGACAUCUAUUAUUAUUAAUAAUUGUGUGAUUUUAAUUACUAAAA
rnacentral:lncRNA from 1 species